GACGAACGCUGGCGGCGCGCCUAACACAUGCAAGUCGAACGAGCGAGAGAGAGCUUGCUUUCUCGAGCGAGUGGCGAACGGGUGAGUAACGCGUGAGGAACCUGCCUCAAAGAGGGGGACAACAGUUGGAAACGACUGCUAAUACCGCAUAAGCCCACGGUGCCGCAUGGCACAGAGGGAAAAGGAGCAAUCCGCUUUGAGAUGGCCUCGCGUCCGAUUAGCUAGUUGGUGAGGUAAUGGCCCACCAAGGCGACGAUCGGUAGCCGGACUGAGAGGUUGAACGGCCACAUUGGGACUGAGACACGGCCCAGACUCCUACGGGAGGCAGCAGUGGGGAAUAUUGCACAAUGGGGGAAACCCUGAUGCAGCGACGCCGCGUGGAGGAAGAAGGUCUUCGGAUUGUAAACUCCUGUUGUUGGGGAAGAUAAUGACGGUACCUAACAAGGAAGUGACGGCUAACUACGUG
rnacentral:rRNA from 1 species